rnacentral:rRNA from 1 species
AUUGAACGCUGGCGGCAGGCCUAACACAUGCAAGUCGAGCGGAGCGGCGGACGGGUGCGUAAUGCCUAGGAAUCUGCCUGGUAGUGGGGGAUAACGUCCGGAAACGGGCGCUAAUCCCGCAUACUAUCAGAUGAGCCUCGGUCGGAUUAGCUAGUUGGUGGGGUAAAGGCAUACCAAGGCGACGAUCCGUACCUGGUCGGAGAGGAUGAUCAGUCACACUGGAACUGAGACACGGUCCAGAAUCCUAAGGGAGGCAGCAGUGGGGAAUAGUGGACAAUGGGCGAAAGGGUGAUCCAGCCAUGCCGCGUGUGGGAAGAAGGUCUUCGGAUUGUAAAGCAAUUUAAGUUGGGAGGCGUUACCAACAGAAUAAGCACCGGCUAACUUCGUGCCAGCAGCCGCGGUAAUUC